GACUCUGUAGUGAAAUUCAUGAUGGGUUGCAAGCUCAUUGAUGCGCACUAACCGUGUGCCGGGGUCU
rnacentral:tRNA from 1 species